CUGCUUUUAUAUGUGACGAUUAUGACGGUAGCAUAUGAAUAAGGAUCGGCUAAUUCCGUGCCAGCAGCCGCGGUCAUACGGAAGAUCCAAGCGUUAUCCGGAAUUACUGGGCGUAAAGAGUUGCGUAGGUGGCAUAGUAAGUAGAUAGUGAAAUCCUGGGGCUCAACCCUUUAAACAUUAUCUAAACUGCUAAGCUAGAGGGCGAGAGAGGUUACUAGAAUUUCUUGUGUAGGAGUGAAAUCCGUAGAUAUAAGAAGGAAUACCGAUGGCGUAGGCAGGUAACUGGCUCGUCCCUGACACUAAGGCACGAAAGCGUGGGGAGCGACCGGGAUUAGAUACCCCGUUAGUCCACGCCGUAAACGAUGGAUGCUAGCUGUUAUGAGUAUCGACCCUCGUAGUAGCGAAGCUAACGCGUUAAGCAUCCCGCCUGUGGAGUACGAGCGCAAGCUUAAAACAUAAAGGAAUUGACGGGGACCCGCACAAGCGGUGGAGCGUGUUCUUUAAUUCGAUGGUAAGCGAAGAACCUUACCCAGGUUUGACAUCCUGCGAAGGUCUCCGAAAGGAGACUGUGCCUUGUGAGCGCAGUGACAGGUGUUGCAUGGCCGUCGUCAGCUCGUGUCGUGAGAUGUUUGGUUAAGUCCAUCAACGAGCGCAACCCUUAUAGUUAGUUGAAUUUCUCUAGCUAGACUGCCCCGGCAACGGGGAGGAAGGAGGGGAUGAUGUCAGGUCAGUAUUACCCUUACACCUGGGGCUAGAAACACGCUACAAUGGCCGGUACAAAGGGCAGCCAAGUCGCGAGACGGAGCAAAUCCCAUCAAAGCCGGUCUCAGUUCGGAUAGCAGGCUGAAACUCGCCUGC
rnacentral:rRNA from 1 species